UUUUCCUCUCAGUGUUUGCCAUGAUUUCGCAAUCGAUGAAUAUUAAUUUGUGGGCGUUCCACAGACUAUAUGUGGACAACUAUUGGUGUGACAUGGGCACAAACUGCGCUGCAUUUAGAAGUGAUUGUGAUUUAUUAAGGGAAAACUGCGUAGGACGCGCGUGCUCACGGUUUUAUAAGUCUGAAUAUUUCUGUGCGUACGCACGUCCUAUGUUUCAUCCGUACGCCACUUCUGGCGCAAAUCCUACGCAAGGUUUUAUAAAUGAGGCCCCAGGUCUUUUGACUUUUACACAUAUAAUUUGGUGACCCUAGAUUUUAUGGCAUAUCUCUCAAAGUUCAAGUUAAGCUCGCUAAAUAGAGCAAACCAGACCUCUGAUAAGAAGAAGCGAAGGUUAAUUGUGGUCAUUCCUGAGCACAUUGUUCAACAUAUUUGUAUACGGCUACAAUUUUUUUUCUAUAGUUUGUGAUCUCAAUUUAAGACCGAUGCCUCGAUUUGACCUACAAAAGUAAAUGAGACCAUCAGUGAGACGAUUGGCCUUUUUGUGUGAAAGUAUCUUAUAAAUAAAAUCUGAAUACAAUACUCCAGAUUUGGUUCCUUCACUCAACAAAUUGCAUUUUUUUAUUCAGAAAAUUCCACCAGAGACAGCAGACUUCUAAACACACAGAUUCUACCUCGUCCCCAUCAGCCUUCAAAGCGAGAUUCUCCCUACAGUGAUUUUAAAUUCACAGUUACCAUGAAUAAACAGAGAAACUCCCUCUCCAGAUGUGUUCCUUCUUACACAGUGGACUGAAAGGUGUUUAGGUAUUUCGUAUUAGGUAUUAGGUAUGUAGGUCAACAGUAAGCUACCUUUCUGAUGGGGCAAUAAAGUGAAAAUUCUUACCUGAGUAAAGACGUAUGAAUGCAUUCUUCUUGUUGCUCAACAUCAAAAUUAAAAGAUGUUGGUAAAGGGAUCAAAAAGCUUAGUCUUCAAAAUUACAUUUUUUUUGUAGCAACCGUCUACCAGUAUUGAGAUGCACAACAUCUCAUUACAUGCCAGUCUUUGCUGAUGUGGUCUUUUGGCAGGUGAAUGGACAUUAAGUCUGAUGUACAUAUUAAACAUGCAUUGUCUCCUCUGUCUCGACCGACCUUCACAGCGGGCAGUAGUAUAUUCUUUUUCUUCGGAUGGAUUCAGGGAAGCAACCUUUUACAAGUCCAGUGUAAUCCCAACAUUUUGUCCAUAUGUCAUCAAAACUGUUGGCUGAGACUGCAUCGUGUACAUAAAAAGCUAGUACGCUCAGAAUAAUCCAAAGAGUCAAUAUGUCCCUAAAGUUAGUGGAAAUUCAAACAGUUGGCAGUAGGUGAUAAAGAUGUCUUGAGUGACAUAUGUCAAAAAAAAACAAAAGGAAUGCAUGUUAAUUUACAAAUGAAAACAGAGUUCUCCAACACAAGGCAAACUUACAGUACGUCGAUGACAGCACAGUAAGAAAUAAACUUCAUUGAAAUGAUAAGACACUUUUAACUGCAUCAUUAAAAGAAACCAACUUAAUUUAGGUUUUUACAACGUUUUCUUUUUCAGAUUUAAAAAUAAGGCUUUUUUUCUGGAAACCCAAAUUGAAGCUUGGAGGGCUGAACUCUGGUAGCUUCCAGGUGUGGAUGUGGACUCAGAUGAACGCGAUCAGAUUUAAUGGAUGAGCAAUCACACUCAGUCAACUUUCAUGACUUUCAGCAGAAUUCUGUUUUCCCCUCUUAUAUAAUGUUGGCUGUUAUAUUCAUUCCAGUUGUUUCAAGUAAUGCAAAUAUGAGCUGAAGUUUAAUGCGUGUUGGUUGUGCAUGACAGAACACACUUUAACAGCUGGCUCAUUCAAUUUCCCUCAAACCCUUUUUUGGUUUAGAUUUUCCCUUCUUUUACUUUUUUAUUUUCAUGCUUGCUUUUAGGCUAUUUUUUUGUCAUCACAGAAUUUUUUUCCAUUAUCAUCAUCAUGGUUGAUUGCCGAAGGAGAAUAGUUUUCAUAGGGAUGUUUUGAAUGCUGGUCGUCUUCUUUUUCAUUCUGUUACAUCAUAGACAGUCUAUCAUAGUUCAGGGUGAAGGGGAACAGCUGUUUGAUGCCCAACCCAAAAAGGGUUUACACGCUUCUGUGGCUUUUUUGAUCCGCACUCUAUUUCACAUAAGACCAGUGAGCAAACUGUAAAACAGUGAUGUUAUACGAUUAGAUGAAGUCAUGCUUGAGUCCUAGCUGAUUGUUUAAGAGUUGUGUAACGCUUGUUGUGCUGCAUUGUUCAAACAGCCUCAUUAGCAUUUCUAUCUAUUGGCAGUCUAAGGGCACCUUUUAAAAAGCUAAUCAGGCAGCUCAGGUCUACCUAUGAAUUGCAAAAUAAAUUCACUGUUUUUAAUCAGGGAUUUCGGUUGUUUUUUAUUACACUUUGUAUUCGAGGUUUUUUUAAGUGCCAUGGAUACAGUGUAUUGAGCCAGAAAAAAAAUUCAGUAACAAAUGCAAGUAAAUCCAAUUAUACUCAAAUUUGCACAUAGGGGAAUCACAUCAUUCAAUCUGCUCAAUCUCAGCUUCCCUGAGAAUACUCUGAAGGCCAUCCAACACCCAAGGACUGUGAAUUUAUUAGAUUCAGAAUUAAUAAUUAAAUGACAAAGCUCCUUAAACCCUUGACCUUUUGUCGAUGCCUGUGAUUUAUACUGCAACUUGACAAGACAGGCAUUUGAAUUCAAUGCCUGUGCUCUUCCCAACAUCCUUUGUGAUUUUUGAUUUAAUAAAUGAUUAUAUCAGACCGCUGACCAUAUGUUUCACGUCUGACUUUAACAGUGGCUUUAAAAUAAUGCUAUUUAAAAGACAUCGCAAGAU
ensembl:lncRNA